rnacentral:rRNA from 1 species
AACGAACGCUGGCGGCAUGCCUAACACAUGCAAGUCGAACGAGACCUUCGGGUCUAGUGGCGCACGGGUGCGUAACGCGUGGGAACCUGCCCUUAGGUUCGGAAUAACUCCCCGAAAGGGGUGCUAAUACCGGAUAAUGUCUUCGGACCAAAGAUUUAUCGCCUUUGGAUGGGCCCGCGUUGGAUUAGCUAGUUGGUAGGGUAAAAGCCUACCAAGGCGACGAUCCAUAGCUGGUCUGAGAGGAUGAUCAGCCACACUGGGACUGAGACACGGCCCAGACUCCUACGGGAGGGAGGAGUGGGGAAUAUUGGAAAAUGGGGGGAAGCCUGAUCCAGCAAUGCCGCGUGAGUGAUGAAGGCCUUAGGGUUGUAAAGCUCUUUUACCCGGGAUGAUAAUGACAGUACCGGGAGAAUAAGCUCCGGCUAACUCCGUG